AAAUUGAAGAGUUUGAUCAUGGCUCAGAUUGAACGCUGGCGGCAGGCCUAACACAUGCAAGUCGAACGGUAACAGGAAACAGCUUGCUGUUUCGCUGACGAGUGGCGGACGGGUGAGUAAUGUCUGGGAAACUGCCUGAUGGAGGGGGAUAACUACUGGAA
rnacentral:rRNA from 1 species